CGUAACCACACAGGUAUACACAGAAGGAUGUUACACUCACCUUCACAUAGACGUAACCACACAGGUAUACACAGAAGGAUGUUACACUCACCUUCACAUAGACGUAACCACACAGGUAUACACAGAAGGGUGUUACACUCACCUUCACAUAGACGUAACCACACAGGUAUACACAGAAGGCUGUUACCCUUACCUUCACAUAGACGUAACCACACAGGUAUACACAGAAGGCUGUUACCCUUACCUUCACAUAGACGUAACCACUCAGGUAUACACAGAAGGGUGUUA